GCAAAUGAUUUAAUCCCAGUUGGAUAGGAAGGAAAGAAACUAAAAUAUUUGAGUGACACUGAUUAAAAACUAAUAAUUGUAGCUAAAAUUUAGAGAAAUGUAGGAAAAAAUUACGAAAAAUUAUAGGCAUAACUGUGCGGGGAAAAGGCCCUCAUUGAGACUUGGCCCCAGUAGUUGCAUUUCUUAAAAAAUGCCCUGAUCGGAGAUAAUAGAGAAGAAGCAGAUAUGAGAAGAAAUGGUUUAUAUACAUUUUUCAUUUUUACUUCUGAGUGAUUGAAAUGAGUGAGUUCACACCAUAUCGAAUGUCAUGUCUGUGGUGAUGUCUUCAGAAUGGUCAUGUGAGUACUUCCGUAUUAACUGUACAGUGGUUUGGAAAACAAGGUUGAAGCAGAAUAUCAGCGUGUCUAAAACAAAAAGGUAAGAGUUUUAUUAUGUUAUAAAGUCCACUAGAGUCUGUUCUUUCAUAUCGUCCAGUUAAAACCUUCCAAAUAGUGCCGAAUGAGGGUAACUUUUUCGAUUGAUCGCACAACGUUUUUAAUAUGGUCGUUUCGUCCCCUUUAUGUUUCGUCCCCACACUAGAUACCGUUUUAUCUGUAAACUACUUUAUCUUACUUUUUAUGAACUAGAU
rnacentral:lncRNA from 1 species